AUGGACUUAAAUAUCUCCUAGUCUUUGUAGAUACUUUUUCAGGAUGGGUCGAAGCCUUCCCCACGAAAAAAGAAACGGCUCAGAUGGUGGUCAAAAAGAUCCUAGAAGACAUUUUUCCAAGGUUCGGCCUGCCUAAGGUAAUAGGGUCCAAUAACGGACCGGCGUUCUUGGCCCAGACUUAAAGCUCUUGAAAAAACCCAGUGAUACCUGUGGAAACAGUUGGCCACUGCUUACCAACUUGGAGAUGAGGGAACCCCACAUCAAUAUCAAGUGGGAGACUUCAUCUACGUGAGACAGCAUCACGUGUCAUCCCUGGAACCCCGCUGGAAAGGACCAUACCAGGUGCUGCUUAUAACACCUACAGCGGUGAAAGUGGAUGGGAUCGCUCCCUGGAUCCAUGCCUCCCAUCUCAAGCCUGCGCCCUGUCCAGACUCUGACUGGAAACUGGAACAAACUGCGUGUGGGAAGCACUGGGAUUCAAUCCCCAGCGAAGAAAAAGAGGGAGGAAGAGGAGGAGGAGGAGAUCAUCAAGAAGAAGAAGAAGAAAGAAAGAAAUGGAGGAAAAGAAAGAGGAAGGGUAAGCAAAG